AAAAAAAAGAAGCGAAAUCCUGAAGGGAUGAUUCCUGUUUCCCAAGCCUCAGAGAGAAAUGCCUGCCAGGACCUCGUGACCAUGAAUGUGCUGCCUUUGAAACAAAUCAAAACAACCAAACCAUUCCAAUGACGAUAAUAAUAACAACCCACCUGCAACAGUAACUGAAGAGGCAAGAAUGCAUCCUAGGCCUUGAAAGAGUCUUUCUUGGGCCCUAUCUCCUAGUAAGGAAGCCCAGGCAGAUCAUAAAAAGUCACAUGGAGAAGAAUCAGGGGCCCUUCCCCUGACUGAGCUCUUAGUCGGCAGCUAAUUGCACUUCUCUGGCCGUAUGAGUGACUCAUCGUGAAGCAGGUCUUGGUGCUCCAGUGCAGCUGCCGAAGAUGGUCUCUCGGGAACAGUUACGGAUCUCCCACGUACCAGAUCCCUGUUCAAACUUCCCAACUCGUGUGAGGUGGCACAUUUGCAGACCCAGUAGUGAGGAAGCUGAGGCAGGAGAAGAAAGAAUUCAAGGCCAACCUAACCGACAGUGAGAGCUCCAGACCACCCAGGGAGAUGUAGUGGGAGCACCUGUCUCAAACAAAUACAAAGUAACAAACAACAACAACAAAAAUCUUUCUUGUUUUAAGGUGUUUGUUAUUUUGUUACAGUGACUAAUGCCUAAACACAAUCUUCCCUCCUGCAACCUCUCUCUGC
rnacentral:lncRNA from 1 species